CAAGUGGCUUCUAAAUCAUGAGAGCUGACAUUGCUACAACUCUGUCAGUUUAGACACCAUGGGCAGAUUUUUAUAACCUCAUCUCCACACAUCUCAACCCAUUGCUCCCUGUAUCCUGCUGACCCGACAAGGACAAGCAACCAUCUCUGUGCAGAGGGACAGUGUAGACUUUGUGAAGGGACUGUAAGCAGCUACCACUGGUUUUGAGGACUCAAGUUGGAGAACAUCAGAGCAGAGUCAAUGCCACAGAAACAGGAUCUCUCCUGGUUGAGUUUCUACUUCACGCAAAUAAAGAGCAGGAACGCCUGCAAGUCCCCACUACACCAAAAGACCUGGAGAUUCUCCUAUGGCAUUCAGGAAACCCCACUCGGAAAAUGGGAAAAAAAUCUGACCACAUUUAAAAUACAUCCUGCAGUCAAUGCAUUGCACUACUGUGAUAACUACAGUGUUAACAUCUGCAUUUCCUGCUGAGAGUUUGUGCAAUUACAAGGCACAGAUCUUCAGUGUAAAGGUUCCACUACUGUGAUAACUACAGUGUUAACACCUGCAUUUCCUGCUGAGAGUUUGUGCUAUUACAAGGCACAGAUCUUCAGUGUAAAGGUUUGCAUUUCAGUCAUGGAGAAGCAAGAAGCAGAGCUGCUAUACAUCACCCAGGAUGACAUCAGCAGUGCUGUAGAAAGAGAAAGUUGAUAAACCUUUGCCGGAAGAUAUGGAUCAAAAUCUGAUUAGUAAAACUCAAGGUUAAGUAAAUAUGAAAGAGAAUUUAAUAGUCUGCUCCUUCCCAUUCUGUUUCAGUGGUGUGAUCUAUCAUUUCAAAAGAAGCACCAUCAUUAUUUUGGAAAUCUGACUCCUCCAUGGGAUUUUAGGCUCAAUAUCACAUUCCCAGUUAACAACACAGUGUUUACCUGGAUAGAUCUUUUAAAAAGUCAUGUGGAUCUCCUAGAUCAGAAUGACAAAUCUUCCUAUUAUUCACUUGUAGCUUUAGUGUAUGAACUGAAAAAAGACUUGAGGGAGAAGGGUUGGAAUAAGGCUAUCACAUCGGGAUAAGGUUCUGCUCUUAGUUUUUAACCAUCUCUUUAAAAUAUUUUCAGGAUUCACCAGACAAACAGGAUUUCAUACAGAAAAUGCUGAUUCAAACCAGACAGAAAACACAUCCCUUUCUGUUACCAUGGGUACACUGGAAGAGCUUUUUGCUUCCUGUAGUGUUACAAUACCACACCACUGACACCACAAUGCAAAGAGCAAAAUAUGAUAGAAGAAAGAGCAGCUACCGUGGGCAUGCCAUCAAGACAUGAAGCCCUACCACCCCAACACCCCAAAAUCCCCAAACAACCCCUGCAACAAUAGUUUGUCCCUAAAUGGUAAGCUUAAAAGGUCACUAUUAAAAGCAGGAAAACAAUCUUCAAUAUGUAGUGAAUCAGAGCAUAUUUCAUAGAUGAAAUCAACCAUAUGCUGAUUCCUAAUAAGUUGAACUUAAAAAGAAAAUAUAGAAUAUGUAA
rnacentral:lncRNA from 1 species